rnacentral:rRNA from 1 species
UACGGAGGGUGCAAGCGUUGUCCGGAAUUACUGGGCGUAAAGCGCACGUAGGCGGCUUUGUAAGUUAGAGGUGAAAGCCCGGGGCUCAACCCCGGAAUUGCCUUUAAGACUGCAUCGCUUGAACGUCGGAGAGGUGAGUGGAAUUCCGAGUGUAGAGGUGAAAUUCGUAGAUAUUCGGAAGAACACCAGUGGCGAAGGCGGCUCACUGGACGACUGUUGACGCUGAGGUGCGAAAGCGUGGGGAGCGAACAGG